AUGGCGCUGGCCAGCGUUUUGGAGCAGUCGGUGCUGGUGAACCAGGAUGGGUUUUUUGGACUCAGAAGUCAGAAAGAUCCGCUGGAACUGGGUCUGGGGAGUCCUGGUGAUGGGCUGAGCCUUGCUGCACCAAACUAGGGUGUUCUAGAAGAGCCAAAAAUCAAAAUGUUUCAUGGAACCACCACCCUGGCCUUCAAGUUGUGCCAUGGAGUCAUUGCAGCUGAUUCCUGGGCCACAGCAGGUGCUUAUACUGCCUCCCAGACAGUGAAGAAAGUAAUAGAAAUCCACCCUUACUUUCUGGGCACCAUGGCUGGGGGGGCAGCGGAUUGUAGCUUCUGGGAGCGGUUAUUGGCUCAGCAAUGUAGAAUCUUUGAGCUUCGAAAUAAGGAAUGCAUCUCUAUGGCAGCGGCCUCCAAACUUUGUGCUAACAUAGUAUAUCAGCACAAAGGCAUGGGACUGUCCACCGGCACCCUGAUCUGUGGCUGGGAUAAGUGAGGCCCUCGCCUCUACUGUGUAGACUGUGAAGGGAACAGCAUUUAGGGAACUGUCUUUCCGGUGGCUUCUGGCUCCAUGAAUGUUUACGGGGUCAUGAAUUGAGGCUACUUCUAUAACCUAGAAAUGGAGCAGGCAUAUGAUCUGGCCCUCCGAAUCAUCUACCAAGCCAUCUACAGAAAUGCCUACUCCCGAGAUGCACUCAACCUCUGCGGGAGGAUGACUGGAUCCAUGUCUCUAGAGACUAUGUAGCUGAUUUACACAAGUAUAGUGCACCUGUCCUCUGA